rnacentral:rRNA from 1 species
GAGGAAAGCGGGCGGCGUGCUUAACACAUGCAAGUCGAACGGAAAGGCCUCUUUCGGGGGGUACUCGAGUGGCGAACGGGUGAGUAACACGUGAGUAACCUGCCCUUGACUUUGGGAUAACUUCAGGAAACUGGGGCUAAUACCGGAUAGGAGCUCCUGCUGCAUGGUGGGGGUUGGAAAGUUUCGGCGGUUGGGGAUGGACUCGCGGCUUAUCAGCUUGUUGGUGGGGUAGUGGCUUACCAAGGCUUUGACGGGUAGCCGGCCUGAGAGGGUGACCGGCCACAUUGGGACUGAGAUACGGCCCAGACUCCUACGGGAGGCAGCAGUGGGGAAUAUUGCACAAUGGGUGGAAGCCUGAUGCAGCAACGCCGUGUGCGGGAUGACGGCCUUCGGGUUGUAAACCGCUUUCGCUCAUGACGAAGCUUUGUGUGACGGUAGUGGGUAAAGAAGCACCGGCUAACUACGUG